AUCGUCAGACACGAGACUCGUUCACGCUCGUUUUCCGAAUCGGUCCCGGUCCGUGUCGAGGUCGACCAGCGAGCAACCAGCGAGCAGAGGAAGCUUGCGAGCAUCGUUCGAGAGCAGGCAACCGACGAACAAGCACCAAAAUGGCUGCCAGCUCGUGGAGAACGCCGACGACUAUUGCGUGCGUGGGUGACGCGUGCCUGACGUCAAUUUAUCGUCGCCGCGACGAUAACGAUUAUUUUGUUGGGUUGCGCCUCCGUUAUCGCGUUAUCGCAUUUUAUUGGAGGCCAAUGUCGAAGUCGGCGAAAUGAAAAAUUUACAAUCCGCUGAUUGAUAAGACAAACGAUUUCUUUGAAUUUUUAGCGCAAUGUUAGCUCCUGUUUCACGACGUAUUGGUUAGACUUGCCACGAUUUAUUCGGAAAAACGCGAGAGGAUUUUUCAAUUUUGAUUUUCUACCAUUUUGGUUAACCCAACUGUAAAUGUCCGUUAUUUGUUGGAAAUUCGUUCUCUUCUUACCCUUUGACGCAUGAAACGGUGAAUUUUGCUUUACUUGCAACUGGCAAUGGAAAUUAAAAAAUAUGAACUUGGGUAUGAAUUAAUAAAUAUAAAUUUCAUAUUAUGGAAUGUAAUUAUUGAAAUGUUAGAGAAGGAAAUAAACUGAAUUUUUAGUGAGAAAUUGCUUGUUCCAGGGAACAAAGUUAUUUGAUACCUGGUUCCGAAUACAGCGAAAUCGUAUUAUGGAUCAUAGUAUCAAAAUAAUAUUAUAUACAAAAUAAUAUCAUAAUAAAGCUAAUCGCCAACUAAUCAAUAAUCGCCAACAAACUAUGUAUAGUUGAUUAUAAUAAUUUCAUAUACGUUCGAUAAAUACCCGUAGUCUAUUAAUCUCUAUGUAAGUAAAGGGAAUCGUUGCUUUUCCAAUACAUCAGGAAGUGAUUCAGACACAGCUUCGAGCGGAAGACUCGCCGUAGCAAGUAGUAAAGUCUUAUCGAUGUCAGGCAGUUAGACAGUCAGACAAGCUACCACACCCACCGAUUAUUCUCGAACAUUUCCUAUCGCUUCACGAUAUUUAAUAUUAACCGUGAUAUUUUAAACCAAUUUCCGUUGAUUAUUACGUCGAAGUACGAUACUUUAGUUCUCUAAUACGUCAUCAUAAAUACUGACGUAACCGAUAAUCAUCGAGACACGCACAGUGUAAUAUUAUCUGUUUAACGAGCCUGAUUGAACGCUACAAGAAAAAGUUUCCGGAGUUCUUGAACCGUGAAAGUACCAGGAAGUAGGAUGCUUGUGACUUUUAAUGAUUUGACUAGAACUUUCAGUGGUAAGCUGAGCGAAAUUGAGUUUCGCGUACGUAAUUUGGGUUUGCAC